AGCUGCAUAGAUGAAUGGUUUGAAGUAAAUAGAUCUUGUCCUGAACACCCUUCAGACUGAGACUACAAGGUUCCUGUUAUGUAGCUUCUUACACGGAUCAGAAAAUGUAGAGGAUUUAAGAUUCUGUCUUUGGACAUACAUUUGAGAACAUACUUGGCUUCAGACUUGUGUUCCUGUGCGGCUGGAAAAGGCAAAGAUAGACAGUUGUGUGGAACAAAAGCUGUAGAAUCCAUUUGCUUGCCAGUAGAGUCGGCAUACCGGACACGCAGGGAUUUUGAAAAUGCUGCACAUCCUGUAACAGUCUUCUUGCCACAGAUGUUAUUGAUUAUUUGUAUUCUAAAGGCCAAAGUUGUUGUUUUUCAGUCUAACUUUUCUGCAGAAGCAGGUUAUGGUUCUCUCUUCUUACUCUCACCCAAAUGGAAAUUGAUACAUUCUAAAUCAACACUAUCUGAAACAUUUUUGUGAGGAUCCCCAUAUUUUUGCGUGGAAGUGUUUUAAUCUCCUCUUAGGCUGAAGAAUUGUAAAUGGCAAGCAGUCUAGCACUAUGACCUUAUUCACUGAAUUCACACCCUGUCCUCAGUAUGUUCUUCACCUUUUUCAAGAAUGGAAAAUGAAAACUACUUCUGCAUAGGAAAACUGUAUUUCAAAGUUUUUUUUAACUAAAUCUUUGUCAUAAUGCUGUCCAAAGAAUAAACCAAGGCAGGUGACUAACUUUUAUUGAUUGAGCUAUAGAAUUGUUGAAAUCUGGAUGCUGUAUUGUUAUUUAAGCGUACUAAAAUGUCUCUCUUAAAGCUUUUGGUUAAAAAAAUUCAGCAAAGCAUAAUCUUGCAGCUAUGCAACUUUUUUUACUGGGAGAAAUUUAAGUGCUGCCAGUCAAGGUAAUUCGUUUAACGGGUAUUUUUUUUUAAAAGUUUCAGGUAAUUAUUUUAUUGUACUACUUUCAUCUCUAGUCUGUCUCUUCAGGUUUAGGAGAAUAACUGUGAAAAUGGGCACAGUGAUGUUUCCUAGGCAUUAUAGUAAUGAUUACAUGGGGUGGGAUUUGCAUUAACUUUUGAAACACUUUUAUAUGCAAAUUUUUAAUUGAAAUUUUCUUGAUAGCAGAGCCAUAGUAAUUUGCACCUCACAUCAUUUAUCUGUUUGUUAAAAAUACUGCCAAAUGCUAAUAUCCACAAACACCUGCAUUUGUUUAAUUUAUUACUGUUUUCCUAUAUCACUAUAUUUGUCUUAUCAGGGCUUAGCACACAUCAGAAUGGGGGAACAGAAAACAAAAUGUGGAUGAAUGAGAGUUCCCAUAAAACAUCACAAUAAAAAAAACUGGAAUAAAUAUCACAGCUUAGAAGAAAAACAUUUUAUUUCAAGAAUUGAUAUGUUGCAGCUUCUGAAUUUUCACAUUAUAGGGACAGAUUGACUAUUUAUUACUAGCUGCAAUUUUUAGUUGUUUCAAUAGCAAAAAUAAAUUACACCACACCUUUUU